AAAAAAAAAAGGUAGAUACUUAGAUAUCACCGUUACAGGUUUUGAAUUUGUUGAUUUAUCCUUUUAGAACUCAAGAAGAAUUGGCCAAUAAAACCAAUUCAAAAAGUGCAAGAAAUGUAACAGACUAUUAUAGCUGUUCGAAGCAUUGUGAUUUUAAAGACGAAAUAGUGGACCUCGAAACUAAGGAUAUCGUGUGCUUUCACUGGCUAUUUCCUCACUCUCUUUAGCCUUACAAAGUACAAACGCAAUUCUAUUAGCUUGGUUGCGGUUUCAAGAGUUAUUGAACGUUCUGUAUGACUGAUACAAUGUUUGAAAAUUAUUGUGUUUGCGGAAUAUUUGUGACUGAUUGAUUAUAAGAUAUUGCAGUGGUUUAAUAAUAUAAAUUACCAAUAUUAACAAAUUAUAACAUUAUAAAAAUAUAAAAACAUACUAUUGUAAUAAAAUAUAAUAAUUAUCAAUAUAAUAUGAUUAAUAAUAAUAUUAUGCUCAUUUAUUUAAUUAUUAAAAUUAAUUGAAAGUUAUAAUUUUAAUUAUUUAUUUUUUUGAAGAUUUAUAUUAAACUUUUAAAAGAAUAUUUUGUUUCGUUUUAUAUAUGUGUAUAUCUUUAUAUAUGGAUGUAUAUUAAUUUUUAAAAAUUCUAAUGAAUGGUUAGUUUUAAGUUUUUAUAAAAAAAAUUAUGAUACUGUUUGUGAAUUUAAAUUAAUAUAUAAAAUAUGUAUAUUUUUAUUUUUAAUAUUUCAAUUUUAAAAUUUUAAUUUUAAAAUUUUAAAAUAUUUUUGAAAAAAUAUAUUUAUAUAUCCACCGCAACCGCAAAUGAUAGUUGUAACCAACUUUUGAUUUUAAGAGAUUCAGAGCGGUUUGAAGCGACUUGUAGCGGUUUGUAUUAUUAUUUCGAAAUACUGUCAACCGUUACCAAUUGCAAAAACUGCGUUUGCGGAUGGUAGUAGAAAAACCAAUCAAGGCCUAAGUGUAUGUUUUAAUCAUAUUGCUCUCAUUAUUCUCUCUUAAACUAUAUCAUAUGAUCUUUGUCGCAACUUGUAAUUCCAACUAGAGAUUGACCCGCACGCCCGUGCGGGUGUUAAUUUUUACUUUCUUAUAAAUCGAUAUUUUAUUUUUAUGAUUAGUAUUAUAUAUUUUAUAUGUAUCAUAAUAUAAUUAAUUGCAUAAAUACUUUUAGAUUUCUAUACAUCAUAAUCAAACCUGAAUCAAAUAGAGUAAUAUGAUUACUUUUGGUUAUUUGGUUAUUUUUAGUUUAAUUUGAAUUCAACAUACCCGAAUUGAAUCUGUUAAUAUUCUUACUUUUCAUAUAAAUAUCCGUACCGGCGUCAAAUACAUUAGUUUUUGGAUAUUUGUAGGUUUGUAUAUAUCAAGACUGAAUUCAUCUGGACCCGAUUCGAAACACACAUGAAAAUUUAUAAUACCGAAAUGAAGUCUAGUUUCAAAACUCAAAAAGCAUGAUAACCCACAGAAAUAACUCGUAGCUGAAUAGUUAUCCGAAUGUCCAUGUCUAACCGAUACAUAAGUAAAUAAAAAAAAUUGUUAACCAUUUUGAAUUCUUAUCACAAAUAGAGUGGUUUCAUUCAAAUAUGUCGAAUUAUUAUAGUUAAUAUGUAAUUAAUCCUGACAAAAUAUUAUAGUAAAUAUAAUUAAUGAGAUAGUUAAAAAGUGAGAAAAUGAAUGUAAAAGAUAAAAUAAAAAAAUUGAAAACAAAUAAGUUUUGUUUUUCAUGUCACUAUUAUAUAUCAUAUAUAUGUCAUCAUAUAAUUAAUCAUAUUUUAUAUGUACCAUAAUAUAAGUAAUCAUAUAAUUAAUAUUAUUUUAUACAUACCAUCAUAUAAAUAAUCACAUAUAUUAUAUUUAUAAACUUAAUAUGAAAUAUAAAAACCAUAAUUUAAGUUGGUGUUUUUAAUUAAGUUAUGUAUUGUAUUUUUCUUAUAUAUAGUGAAAAUAUUUUUUAAAUGGUUAUUGGAAAAUAUUUUAGUAAAUUUUCUUAAAAUAUAUAUAUAUUUGAAUCAAUUAUUUAUAUAAAUUAAUUUUAAAUUAUUAUUUUGAUUUGAAUUUUGUAUAGAAAUAAUUAAAAUUGAGAAAAAUGAAUGUAAAAGAUAAAAUAAAAAUUGAAAACAAAUAAAUUUUGUUUUGUACUUCUGUAAUAAAUGAUAUUAACUUAUUUAGUAAAUAUAAUAGAUGAAGGGUUAGAAUUGAUUAACAAUAUAAUAAAAAUCUUUUAAAAAAUCAAUUAAGAUAAGCAAGUAUUAUUUUCUACUGCUAUCCAUGUUUCCAAACAAUUCUCAUUUAUACUACUAUCCAUGUUUCCAAACAAUUCUCAUUUAUACUAUUAUCCAAGUUUCCAAACAACUCUCAAAUGUACUUCAGUUUUAAUAAUAUAGAUGAAGUAUUUUUUAGCAAAUAAACAUACAGUUUCUGUCAGAAUUCAUUUUACAAACUAGUUUUUUUUCAGAAAAUUUUGAAUCACUCUAAUUUCUAUAUUUUAAGUAAUUUAUAUCAAACCCUGUAACAUGAACAUUUACAAAAUAAAUCUAUGAGAGAAAUGAAUUAUUAUAUAUUAAUCAAAAUGAAUGGGUACAAACUGAAAUAAAUUUGACAGCAGAUACCAAAGUAUCCCCAUAAAACUAUUCUCUACUUGUUCUGUUAGUCUUUUUCUUUUAUUGGUAUACACGCAUACAACUCACACGCACAUUUCUACAGUUGCAUCCUGGAUUAUAACAUGAUAAUGGUGUAAUCUACUAGGAUACAAAUCCGGUCAACUAGUCCUAAUUUUAACUCUUUAGUCCUUUUUUCUACCCAAGAGAUUCUGAAUAUUACACUGUAAUAGUAUUAGUCGGUUAAUUAGUCCCCCACUUUUUUUUUUGAACUGCCCUACUUCAUAUCUUACUAAAUAGUUUUUGAUCAUGCUGGAUCAUAUAUCAGAUUUCUUUCUGCGCCUGUUGAGUUGUUUGGUCAAUGUAUAUAUAUUUUUUGCGUGUGCUGCGUGCAUUGUAGUUUGAUGGAACCAUUGCGUCUGAUACAAUUAAUAUAUAAAUGAAUUAUGCGCUUGACGUAUACCAUGAACGAUUGGACCACUUACCUAUAUAUUUGUUAAGUGAAUGACUUCAUUAAUAAGGAAACCUAGUCUUAAUUUACACAUAGAUUAAUAAAAAUUUCGCUACGCAAAAUCUUUUAAGAUCGAAUCAUAUAUAUAGCCUUCAAUAAUUUGUAUUAUAAUAAACAGUGUGAAUAACUUAUUGUUUAUAAAUUGCAUGGAAAAAGUGAAAACACAGCUCAACAAAAUCUUUUCUCUUGUUGUCUAAAGCGAUUCAUACUAUCAUCUAAAUUCUAAUGCACUAUAAAAAUUUAGCUCACUGUUUGAUUUUACAAUGCAUAUAUAAUCCUUGAAUGUUAAAUUCAUCAGAGAAUCAAACAAACAAACAAAAUUAUUUUUCGAGUUUUUCCGGGCCAUCUAUUGCAGGUUAUAUGUGCUAAAGCCCGUUUGAAUUCAGAUAAUGCUUUAAGCUUUGUACACCUGAUUUGUGUUUAUUUGUAACAUCGGGCCUUAAUCUCUCAAAUAUUGAAUAUGGCUCAUAGUUUUGGCUGUUGUGUUUUAGUCAUUUCCGAUAGUUGAUGCUAUUAUUUCCCUUCCGGUACAUUUAAGAAAUGACAAUGUUUAGUUCUUCAAUACAACAUAAUGUUUGGGAACAGUUAAAACCAAAAAGUUAUGUGUUUUGAGUUUUCUUUUCUAUUACCAUCGUCGUAAUUAACGUUGUGUGCAGUUUUUGUAUAUCAUCUAUAGUUUUAGGUCUUUCUUUUUUUGAACAAAUAGUUUUAGGUCUUUGUAAUCUGUUUAUCGAGCUCAGUAUGUCUCAUAUAGAACUAGGUCGACUAGAACAAAGUCUGAUGCUGUAUUUAGAAACAGUCUUGACGCAAAAACAAAUGAUAAUAGACCAAAAUGUAAAACAUAGUCUGAAACAUCAAAUCAUAAGAAAAACCAUGAAAAUCAAAAUGACGAAAAAACAACCAGUUUGCACCCUGAAAUAGAUAAAGAGUAAACAAUAGUCCAACACCUCUUGACUCAAUCUUCUGAAACACCUACCUCCUUGAACACAAGGCCUGAGGUUCCUUCAUUAGGUUUCCCAUCUUUAUUUGUAACAAGAACUUUCAAACCAUCUCUAGUCUUCCCUUUGGAUACAGCAACAUACAUCGGUCCACGAGAGAGCACUUGCCUUGGUUGAUAGAUACCAAUUUUAGAAAGUGGCUGUCCUUCAUUUUUGUUUAUAGUCAUUGCAAACGAAACUGCCAACGGAAACUGCGUACGCUGCAUUUUGAUGGGAAAUUUUUCGUCUGUUGGAUGUGUAGGUAUCCUAGGGAUAAUGACUUCCUCCCCAAUCUUAGCACCUGUUAAAAUUCUAGCCCCAAGCGUGAAACCACCCAGUUGUGUAAUCUGAAGUCUUGUCCCAUUACAUAGUCCAUAGUUAGGCAUAAUGUCCUGUAGUAAGAUGACAGGAACACCAACCUUCAAUCUCAAACAAUGGUUAGGCAAUCCAGGGGCUUUGAUGCUAUUCAAAAGCUCUGGAGGGUAUCGCAUGUAGUCACUCGGGUGUGAAUUCAAUCGAGAAAUACUGUCAGCGCUCAGACACACCUUUUCUUCACCUGAUAUGAUAUUAAACAAAGUCUUAGUUAUAAUAUGUGCAGAAAAUGGCAAUAGAUAGAAAUAGAAAAUGAUCAAACAUAAAUAUUAACGCAUUACCCGAUAUCUGCGAAAGCAUAUAAUCAUUAAUCUGGUCCACAUCUUCAUUUGUAGAACACAAAAUAGCUUUCCCGUGAAAAAACCCAGGAUUAUAGGACUCUGGAAAAGAUUCUCCAUAAACUUUCUUCACUAAAGUUUUGAUAGGGUCCUUGCAGUCAGCUAUCAUCAAAUCUUCAAGAACAUCAAUUUCAAUAUUUCCUCUAUUUGACUCGUCGAUCGUUGCACCACCAAUAUCUUGAAUCCAUUUUGAAUAAGCUUCACCUAUAGUUGCAUGAAUAUUUGUCCCCUGGAAUUCAAUUAACAAAACCAUAAUUUAGAAAUUUAACAUACUAAAAGUCCAAACUAUAUAUUAAGGAACUAUACGACUCCAGUAACAACUAAGCGAAAACUACUUACACACAUUGACUAUGCUAUAUGCCAUAGUCGAUACUGUAGAUGAAAACAUAUAACUUGAAAUACGAAAGGCACAUUCUAUACCAGUGUUUUAUUUUUUACACGUAAAAGCUCAAAAAUAUGUUCGAUUGUUAGCCAUAAACUCAAAUUAAAUCAUUAUGUAGGUAAUAAAAAUCGAGAAUAUUGCAUCUUCAUCAUACCUAGCAUCCAGGUGAUUAGACUAAAAAAAGAGUAAUGAAUAAUCAAACAACGCUUACAUAAGUCAUCGAUUACUAUGUAUCAAAGUGCAAGUUAUUUUGAUGAUAUGCAAACAAUAAAAGGCCCGUUUUUCUACGAUUUUGUAAUUUGUAAACACUUUGUAACAAAAUCAACUUGAGAACAUGUAUAACUAGAAUCAAACCAUACCGAUGAAUCAAGUAAAACCAUAUCGACCGAGUUGCCUGAUUCAUUCUUAUCCCCCUUCCAUAUACGGAUCAUCUGCACUUUAAUCUUCCCUGGAUUGAUACCAUCGCGAGCAGCAGAAGAGGACGAGGCAGCAGGUUUUCGGACUAGCGCCAUUAUUUUAGCGGUUUGUGAAUGGGUUAGACGAGAAGGUCGUGGAGCUUUAUAUAGACUCACGAUAUACAUGUAACGUUUAUUAGAAUAUAGUAAUAUCGGUUACAGUGAUUAUGAUAGAUAAUUAAUUCCUAAAUUAAAUCCUAGUAGAUUUGGGAAAAAUUUCCGUUUCCUCUAUCUAGGUAGGUAUCUAGAUGGUUCGAAUACUAAAGUGCUAAACCAAUCAACUCUUUCUAAAAAACUUGGGUCGCAUAAAGUGGCGUUUUUGGACAACUCGUGGGCCGAAAUCAAGAAGUCUAAACCUCCUGAAGCCAGAAAGAAGAUUUUGGAGGACAUAGUGUUUAAUAGGCAUUGCUGACGUCGUCGUUAUAAAUAUUUGCUCUACUCCUCAACUUGAAGAAGCUCAAGUACUCUUACUGGGAGUACAAGGCUCGAGAGAACAAAACGGGUCAACUUCGUGAGCUUAAUUAGGAUCAAACGCAGUGUUUUUAAAACCGGACCGGCUGGCGAACCAGAUGUUUUUUUGGAUCAUGGGUCAUUGUGGUUCAACCGGGUUUGAACCGGAUUUGAUCGGGUUUACUUAGAUUAAACUAAAUUUUAUGAUAUUUUAUAAAUAGUAUGCAUAUUCUUUAAAAAAAAUCAUAUCAAAUAAAAUGUUUAAAUAGCCAUAAUGUGUAGAAAACUUAAAAAUAACAAUUAAAAUCUAAAAUCAAUAUGAAAAGUACAUUUAAACUUUAUUCGCAAAUCUUAUCACUUUAAAUCUUCAUCAUAUUUUAAGAAAAAAUUAUAUACACAUUAGGUAAAAGUUAGAUUUUGAAAUACAAAUUUCACAAACCUAAAUGUUUCAAUUAUGUAAAGUCUUCAAAACACUUGAUCAUUAAAUAAAAUUUAAACAAAGUGAGAAGUAGACAAAAACAAUAUCUUGACGUGAAUAUUAAACUUUGUGAAUCUUGUAAUUUAUGAAUUGCAAAGACGACAAAAGAAAAAGACGAGAGACGAUACUUUAUUAAUCUUUAAUAAAUCAUAUUUUUACUUAAAAAGAAGAAAAACUAAUUGUUUCAUUAACAAAAUUUUGGCUUAUAUGAACCGGGGUUUGUCCGGUUCAUUAGGUCGCCGGUUUCCGGAUUUUUGACGGUUUGAUAGGUGUUUUUAAUUGGUUCGAUUUUAGUUGGGUUUUAGCAUUAACCCUACCCUGAUUAUUUUUCGGUUUAUGGUUCAAACCGGUCCGACCGCCGGUUCGGUCCAGGUUUAAAAACACCGGGUCAAAGAGUCUCGAUAUAUUGAUGAUAACAGAGCAACGAGAGGGAGAAGGGUUUCUAUGAAGAGGUUAUGUGGUCAUAAGAUGGUUUAGCUAGAAGGAGUCACGCCAGUGCUAAAAGAAGGAACACAAGAGAGAAACGAAAGCAAAGAAAGAUGUGUGUAUAAAUCAACUGUAUGCGAAUAACAAUGAAGUAAGUUACUUGGAAAUCUCAAAAUAUUUUAUAACCAUUGUUUUUGCUAAGAAUGUAAAAAUUAUUUCAAAAAUUAAAUAUACAAUAUGUGUCUAACCAUAGUCUUCAUUCGUCAAUGUAAUGAAAGGUUUUUCAACAAAUCGAACGAUUUUAAGUUAUGAUUUAUCAGAUGUGAAUAUUCAUCAGAUUGAUAUUUAAUAUUUUACAUCUUUUUCAUAUUUUUCCCUUUUUCUUUUCACGUCCAAGUUCCAACGGUAAUUUUUGUAAAGAAAUUGUAAAUAAACCAUUACUGAGAGAUGUCAUUAUAUGGGCCCCCAUGUUGUGACCGUUAGAUAUCCCCACCAGUCCACCAUCAUUGGCGCAGCGAACCCCGGCACAACUCCCUCUAAUCCAACGGUCCAAAUGUUUCUUUUACUUUCUUUUUUUACUACUCCCUUUUUCUCGAUGAUAAAAGUAAUCAAACAAAAAAGAAUUAAAAUUGUUAAGAUCAUUUUUAUAAAAAUAAACGGUAUCCUUACUGAUCUAUAAGAUCCAAGAAACCCAGCUACACAUCUUUUCAGACCAUAAUUAAAUCCAAGAAACCCAGCUACCCAUCUUUGUAUACCAUAAUUAACCCGAACUUUUAGAAUAGAGUUUUUAGUUUCGGUUAAAAAUCGUUUCUUAGCUUUUAAUUAAGAAAAACUAAAAACCGUCUCUUAAUAAAAAAAUAUAAGAAUUAGUUCUUAACCAAAAAAUAUAAAAAAAAAUCAAAUCAUGAAUUAACCACAAAUUAAAAAUUUGGGUUAAUCAUAUUUUUAAAUCUUUUUUUUUGUCGGCAUCCUCUUAAGUCUAGAUAAGAUCAUAAGAGUGGAUUAAAAAAGUGAUUUAAAACUUACAUAAAGACAAAAAAUAGGAACUGAGAAGAAAACGGAUACUUGUAGCUUUUUUCGACUUUAAUUUAAUCACUUUUACCUAAAGAAGCCGUUGAGAUUAUAUAAUAUAAAGUCUUGAAACACAUUCACACUAGACAGUAUCAUCGAAGAAAACAACAAACAGUUUAGUUUCAUCAAACACUCUCACUUCACUCUCUCUCUCUCAUUUAUUUCUUCUCCCCAAGUUCUUGUCCUCUUCUUCUUCGUCCGUAACUCUAAUGGCUGAACCCCUUUGUGAAUCCUCCUUCGUCGGUGAUAUCGACACUUCGGCUCCAUUCGAGUCAGUGAGAGAAGCCGCCACUCGCUUUGGCGGAUUCGGCUUCUGGAAACCUUCUUCCCUUAACAACAUCCUCGAACCUUCUCAGGUCUCAUCUCUCUCUCUCUCUCCUUCUCAUCUUAGUUUCUAAGGUUUAUUUAUUGAAUUUGUUAGAAAAAGAUCUUGUCUUUAGUUGCUUUUCGUGAUGCUAAAGCUUAAAGUUUCAAACUUUGGUUACAGAACGAUGUGGACGAAGCUAACAUUGUGGCGAGUGAGUUAGAGAAGGAACUGAUCUCCAAAGAAGGAGAAGCUCUGAAAGUGCUGAAGUCUCUCGAGACGACCAAAGCCAUAGUCGAAGAGCUCAAAUCAAAGCUACACCGAAGAGAAGACAAAGAGAACUGCGACGUGAACGUUCUGAAAGAGCUAAACCAAGCCAAGACGAAUCUUUGCAAGACGACCGAAGAUCUCGCCGCUAUACGCGAGUCCGUCGAGUUACUGAACAAGAGACUUGAAGAGGAGCGAGCAGCGCUCGAGAAGACGCGAGAGAGGUUAAACUCCGAGAACGCGGCGGAGAUCUCAAAGGAGAUUGAGAGACUAAGUGAUGAUGCGUUGGAGUUUAGUAAAACAGGGGAGGAAGCGCGUUUUGCGGUUGAUAAAGCUGUGUGUGAGAUCGAACGGACGAGGAGCAAGAUCAAAGCCGCUGAGAUGCGUUUGGUCGCUGCUAGGAAGAUGAAGGAAGCUGCUAGAGCGGCUGAAGCGGUUGCAAUCGCUGAAAUCAAAGAUGUCACCAGGAGAAGAAGAAGAACAAGAGAGACGUUGCAGGAGGAGAUUCUUGAGAAGAUUGAAGAGACAGCACAAGAGAUCAGAAGCAGUAAGAGGACGAUUGAGGAAGGUCUGGAGAGAGUGAACAGCGCGAAAAUGGAAGAAGAGACACAAUGGCAGUGGUCAGAACGUAGGAGGAGAUCGUCUUCUUACAAGGGGAAGUACAAGAACAGGAGAGAGACGGUUCUGAUGGAUGUAAACGGUCUGGAUAUGAUGAUGAAUGGGGACGGGACAGCGUCUUCAGUUGCUGUCUUGAAACCAACGAUGUCUAUUGGGCAGAUACUCAGCAGGAUGCUACUUCUUGCGGAUGAACGAUGUCUAUUGGGCAGAUACUCAGCNNNNNNNNNNNNNNNNNNNNNCAGGAAGCUACUUCUUGCGGAUGAGGCUGCGAUGAUGAUGAAUGGGAGAGUGUCGUUGGGUCAGAUUCUUGGGAAGACUAACGUGAAAGAAAGAAGUGGUGAAGGGAAGGAAAAAGAGAAGAGGGUCAAUGGGAAGAGGAAGAGGUUCGGAUUGGCUAAGUUAUCUGUGAUGUUGAACAAAGAGUGCAAGAACAAGAAGAAGAAGAUAGUUCUGAACUUGAAGUGAUGAAGUGAGUGAGUGACUGAAUUGAAAAUGGUCUAAUCUCUUAUCUUAGGAGUUGUGUUAUGAUGUGUUCGUAAGUCUCGUAAUGUUAACAGUUGGUUUAUUGUGCUAAUAAUAAAUUCUGGUGUGUGAUCUGUUUUUUUAACAGUAAUACAAUACGAGUGUUUUAAUUUAAUGGUAAGAUUUUAUAAAUUAUUGUUUUUUUUUUUUGUCAAACCUAAAUUAUUGUUUUAGUGUAGUUUAUUAAUAAAUUUAUCUUUAGGUUUAAAAAAUCAAAAGUAGAGUUUUGGUUUUUAAUUGUAUUAUAAGUUUUAAACUAAUAUAAAAUAUGCCGUUAAUUUUUUUAUUAUUAAAUAUGUUUAUACUAUACAACGUAAAAUAUUGGUGAGAAUUUAACAUAUUACUUUACACCUUUAGUAGAUGUCAUUUUUUCAAAUGCAAGAUGAAAAAAUAGUGUUUUAAAGUAGGCACACGAUUUUGAUGUGUUGGUGAAAGUUAGUUUUGUUUAGUAUUUACACUGAAACGUGUAAAUCACUAAAUCAGGUAUGGAACACAUCGACUGGUUUCUCUCUAGUCCAGGCACAUAAUGUCGCGACUUAUUUGGCUUGGUCAAAUCCUACCAUCAAUUACAUGACUUAUUCUCUACAAUAAUUUUCUUUUCUGAUUCUGCAGACCCAAAUUUUUGGAUUGCGGCUCUGUUUUUCUUUACUUUAUUACUUAGACCGUUUGUUCCAUCCAUGGUCAGUUUGCCAUAACUUAGUCCAGGUCAAUGUUGUUUUUAGUUAACCAGGAACAUUUCUUAAACGAUUACAAGUGUUACAGCAUUCGAAAAAUAAAUUUCUCUUACAUCAAAACGUUCCUCAAGACAUAUUCUUUUAGGGCAAAAUUAUUUCAAAAACCGUCGUUACAAAAAAACCUGUGUAACACCCAUGUCAUCCUCACUUGAGAACGACAUGUCGCCACGCAACAACUUUUUUUUUUUUUUGAUCAAAAAUUCGACAUUUAUAUUAAUUACAUAAUAAAUCUAUAAAUCCAAUAACUAAAAUAACUGAAAUAAUAGUCGGUGAAAUCAUAAAACAAAAUUCUGAAAAAGAAAGAAAAAGCACCUAAAACAUCCAAGUAUGCAUUCCGUAGUCUACUCGUCCACCUGAAAAAGGAAAAAAAAGUAACAACGGAGUUAUUCAGAGAGGUAUGUGAUGCUAAAACCAAAAUCUAUAGAUUCGGACAUAGUAUUCUGAAUAAAUAUAUUUUAAUCCUAACACGUUACAAAUACGACACCUAAAAUACCGAGUCAUCAAGCAAUGGUCCUAGUUACAAGAUAAGUGCUCGUACACCCUUCAAUAGAGGCUUCUCCAUAAUGGAUGAUUCAUGUAUAAGACUAGUGCCUACAGACAUCGCCCAAAGACGCUUUAUCGACCUUUGGGCUACGACGCAAUAUGUCGACUUAAGCUGGCCGCAUCAUCCACCACAAUGUAUACAUCCAAUCUACAGAAGUACAUCUAUGUAUCUGACUAAUAAUCUUACAUCUCUUAAUACAAAACUAUAUAUAUAUAUCAGUUAUAAAUGAAACAAUGAAGGUUGAACCAUCUAAAUGUUAUAUCCGGUUUAAGCAAAAAAAAAACUAUUACUAUAUCAAGCAGACUCUAAAGAAAACUGAACAUAUAUAUUAUAACUAAACUAUAUUUUUUGAAGUCUGAGGCCAUGUGUGAAGAAUUAAAAAAAAUAACCCUCACUUUAGCAAUUAAAAAAAAAUGAUGUUUCUGAACUCUUGUUGCUCAAAUUGAUUCUAAAUCUGAAAUGAGAGCGAAAAAUCGAAUCAGAAUACCAUUCGAACGACAAAAAAUGAUAUUCACAUCAGGAAAAGUUAACAGUAAAUUGUUAACAAUCAAAAUCAACAGUUGGAGAUUCACACUGGAAAAGGGAGAUCUCAUCAAAAAGGUUUUAUAAAAACUUAGUAAAUGUUUUAGGGAAUUUUCCAUAUUUGGAGAUUUGGGGAAUAUCUCUUAUGAAGCUAUGUUUAUCAGAUUUGAUAUUAGGUAUAAAUAGUCAUAUUCAAUCUAUGUAUUAGGAUCAUCAUUUGAAUUGUAUUCUUAAUAUAAGUAUAGGUUUUUAUAAAUUUGUAAAGUGAAUGAAAGCACAAAAGAUUAAAGAAAGAUGUAAGAUUAUGUAUUCCAUAUUAAGACGCAUGACGGUAUGAGACUAGAUAAAUGAAACAAAAACAAAUCCUGAAUAUAUAUAUAUAUCUUUGUAAAGAUAUAUUUUGGCGUAUUUUGUAUCAUAGUUAGUUUUUGCAUUUACCAUUUCUACUAAUAAACCAUGUGAGGAAUAUAAUAAAUCACGAGCCUAGUGGAUGGGCUUAUUGACUUAGACAACAUGACGGUUGACUUCAAGUCCAUGGUGGGGAUUAUUGACUCAGACGACAUGACGGUUGACUUACAAGUCCAUGGUGAUUUUGGGAGUGUUCCACUUUGGUAUAAGUAGUUGUGAGCCAAUGUCGUAUUAUUACCACAAUACUUUUGUAUAAAUAAAUUUGCACUUGCUUCGUCUCAUAUAUUCACUUCCCUGCAAAUUUUGAGAUGCUCGAAAAUCUUUCUCAAAUACAAAAAAUGAGAAACAAAAGAGUGUUUCUUUUCAUUGCUCUCACCAUGUUACUUGAAGCAUAUGGUUUUACCGUUGAAACUGAUAGGAAAGCACUGCAGGAUUUCAAAUCUCAAGUUUCUGGAGACAAACAAGUUGUUUUGUCGUCAUGGAAUAACUCAGUCCAUGUCUGCAGUUGGAAAGGAGUUACAUGCGGCCUCAGACACAAGAGAGUCACUCGUUUGGACCUAGGAGGGUUGCAGUUAGGGGGAGUGAUAUCACAAUAUAUCGGUAAUCUUUCGUUUCUCAUAUCACUCGAUCUCUCUAAUAACACUUUUGGUGGAACCAUACCCCACGAGGUGGGAAACUUGCUUAGACUUGAUUACUUAGAUCUGAGCUACAAUUCUCUGGUAGGAGCGAUUCCAGUCAGCCUAUUUAACUGCUCUAGAUUGUUGGAACUCUAUCUAAAUUCAAAUCCUCUUGGAGGAGGUGUUCCUUCAGAGUUAGGGUCAUUGACGAAGCUUGUCAACUUGGAUCUUGAAAGAAACAAGUUGAAAGGGAGGCUCCCUGCAUCUUUUGGAAACUUGACAUCGCUAAUGAGAGUUAAUUUUAGGGAUAAUAGUUUAGAAGGAGAAAUUCCAGGUGAUAUAGGUAGACUGAAUCAAGUGGUCGAACUUUAUUUAGCAGUGAACAAGUUUUCUGGUGUUCUUCCUUCUGCAAUAUACAACUUAUCCUCACUUAAGUUAUUAACCAUCCGCGAAAAUCAUUUAUCCGGUUUCUUGAGACCUGAUUCUGAUAAGCUGCUACCAAACUUACGUUUUUUAAAUAUGGGACGUAAUUAUUUCAAAGGAGCCAUUCCAGCAUCACUUGCCAAUAUCUCGAAUCUUCAAAUGUUGUCACUAAAUGCCAACAACCUGACUGGAGGUAUUCCUUCGAGCUUUGGAAAAUUGCAGAAUUUGCAACUUUUGUCUCUUUUUAACAAUAGUUUGGGAAGUCACUCAUCUGGAGAUCUUGAAUUCCUUGGCGCUUUAACUAACUGCACCCAACUAAAAACUUUAUAUGUUUUCGGAAAUCAUCUUGGCGGUCACUUGCCAACCUCCAUUGCAAAUCUUUCCACCGACCUCCGAGUUUUAGACCUUGGAACAAAUUUCAUCUUUGGAAGCAUUCCUCACGACAUUGGGAAUCUGAUAAACCUACAAUCACUUGCGCUAGACGGAAAUCACUUAACAGGUCCAGUCCCGGCGUCUGUUGGCAAGCUUUUACAAUUAGAGGUGCUUGAUCUCGUUUCAAAUAGUAUAUCCGGAGAGAUACCAUCUUUUAUAGGAAACCUCACUCGAUUAGACGCACUAGUCUUGGCCAAUAAUAGCUUUGAAGGAACAAUUCCACCGAGUCUUAGCAAUUGUACUUCUCUACGCUAUUUAAUUGUUGAGCUUAAUAAGCUGAAUGGGACUAUACCUCAGGAGAUUAUGCAAAUUCAAUCCCUUGUUGAACUCGAUGUGGCAGGUAAUUAUUUGACUGGCUCUCUACCCAAAGAUGUUGGACGACUUGACCAUCUUGUUCAUCUAGCUGUUGAGAAUAAUAGAUUAUUCGGACAAAUCCCGCCUUCAUUGGGAAAUUGUCUCACGAUGGAAUUACUCUCUCUGCAAGGAAACUAUUUUGAUGGAGUCAUUCCUGAUAUUAAAGGGUUGGAAGGUCUUAAAGAACUUGAUUUCUCUAACAACAAUCUCUCUGGAAGUAUACCUAGAUAUCUUGCAAACUUUUCUUCGCUGGAGUAUCUCAAUCUAUCUGUUAAUAAUUUUGUGGGAAGUGUGCCAACAGACGGGGCAUUUCGGAAUGCUACUAUAGUUUCAGUGUUUGGUAACAAAAAUCUCUGUGGAGGCAUAAAGGAAUUCAAACUAAAGCCAUGCUUUACUACUGAAGCACCACCAUCAAUGGGGUCAAAGCGUUCCUCUCUUUUAAAGAAAGUUAUGAUCGGGGUCAGCGUAGGCAUAACUUUGCUUUUUCUGCUCUUCGUUUCUUUACUUUUGAUCAGAAAAAGAAAGAAGACCCAGCAGACCAAUAACCAAUCUCCUUCCACAUUGGAAGUUUUCUUCCCAAAGAUGAGUUAUGGAGAGAUCCGGAAUGCGACUGAUGGCUUCUCUUCGAGGAAUAUGAUUGGGUCAGGAAGUUUUGGUACCGUCUUUAGAGCAUUUCUCCCUGCUGAGAACAAGGUUGUUGCUGUGAAAGUUCUCAACAUGCAGAGACGUGGAGCAAUGAAGAGCUUUAUGGCAGAAUGUGAAUCUCUUAAGGAAACAAGACAUCGUAAUCUUGUGAAAUUAUUGACGGCUUGUUCGAGUAUUGAUUUUCAAGGAAAUAUGUUCAGAGCUCUCGUCUAUGAGUUCAUGCCUAAUGGAAGCCUUGAUAUGUGGCUUCACCCAGAGGAAGUGGAAGAGAUUCGUAGGCCCUCGAAAACCUUGACACUUCUUGAAAGGCUCAACAUUGCCAUUGACGUGGCUUCUGUUUUGGACUAUCUUCAUGUUCAUUGUUAUGAACCUAUAGCGCAUUGUGAUAUUAAGCCAAGCAAUGUCCUCCUAGAUAAUGAUUUGACUGCCCAUGUUAGCGACUUUGGUCUGGCUCGUCUUCUCCUCAAUUUCGAUCAAGAGUCCUUCUUCAAUCAACUAAGCUCAGCUGGUGUUAGAGGAACCAUUGGCUAUGCCGCACCAGGUAAAAAUAUCACACAUGUGUAAAGUUUUAUAAAAAAAAAUUAAGUAUUCUUUCUUCAUUACAAUCUUGUUUAUGUGAAUUAUGGUGCAGAAUAUGGAAUGGGAGGGCAGCCAUCAAUACAUGGUGAUGUAUAUAGCUUUGGAGUUCUGGUUUUGGAAAUGCUCACCGGAAAACGACCAACUGAUUAGUUAUUUGGGGGAACUUUACUCUCCACAGCUACAUCAAAUCUGUGUUGCCAGAGCAAGUGUUGGAAAUUGCAGACAAAUCGUUUUUUGACAAUGGUCUGAUAGUUGGUUUUCCUAUUGCUGAGUGCUUGACACUGGUUUUGGAUGUGGGACUUAGGUGUUCUGAAGAAUCACCGACAAACCGGCUGGAAAUGAGUGAAGCUACAAAGGAGUUAAUCUCAAUCAGAGAGAGGUUCUUUAAAGCCAGAUGAACAGCCAGAGUUGAAGGGUUUAUGGUUUCCUCUACAAACUUUAAAACUUACUUAAAAGCCUAUUAUGGUACCUCUAAAAUACCAUUUCCGUAAUGUGUGUUUUCUUCUUCUAUGUACUUUUAUAUGAUUGCAGAAUAUUGUUUAUAAGUGCUUGUUAUUUUCAGACAAAAGAUGAAGAUGAAUGUUAUGUUACUCGCUUUACACUAGAGUUUUUUUCUUUUCCUAUUAUGCCUUGAGAUUCUGUUUCUUAUAUUUUCAAACAUAAGAGUUAGGAAGGAAAUUGUGCGGUCGUAUAUAUUUGUGUACGUAGCUUGAAAUAUCACUUGACAACAAAUAAAAAUAACGAACCAAUCGAUUUGUUGCAUAAGACUUGUCACAUGGUGAGACCAUAAGAUUUGAUUUCAAUCUUCAGCUCUCUUUUAUAUCCAGAUGGCUCAACCUAACCAAUUUUUUUAAAACAAAUUAAAUACUUAAGUCUAACAUAGUAGGUGCAUAUACUUGGAUCGUAUGGACGCUGGAUGCGCAACACUCAAAAGGUUUUUGAUCAACUGUAUGAGGCAAAAAAGGAGCUCUUGUGUUGUGUGUGCUUGUUAGUUUUUUUUGUUGUUGUAGAGAAAGGCAAACUCUAUUGGCAGAUAUCUCCAAGGAGAUUGAGAGACUAAGUUACGCGCGGAGCCAGAAAAUAUUUUUAUCAGGGUGAUAAUUUAAAUUAAUUAAAUUAAAAUUUAUUUAAAAUAUAAUUUAUUAAUACUAAUUUAAUUUUUUUGUAACAUAAAAUAUUAAGCUGUUUUAAUUUUUAGGAGAACUUAUAUUUGAAACAAAAAGUACAGUACUGAAGAUAUUUAAAAAUAAUAAUUGUUAAAUAAAGCUUUAAUACAAAAGUGGAAAAUGAACUAAAUAAAUUGCAAAACAACUGAAAUAAAAAAAUAUGUGCAAAAGAAAUAUAUCCUCUAUAAAAAAUAUUUUAAGAGAUCCCAAACAAUGAGAACGUAAACAAAUAAAAAACAUAUAAGAAAACAUUUGAAAAGCAACAAAAAAAACUGGUUUGACUUAUAUGUUUAUUUUAAACCAGUCUUUUUUUUAACGUCUGAUUAAUUAUGCUAUUACAACAAUGAGAAAUAUUACAUAGACAAUUCUACAGCCGACAUAUGAGAUCCAUGUUCGAUGAUACGCCAUCACCAUGCUGAAGAUCUCUUGUAAUACUUUUUCUCUAUAAUCUGCAUAAUUUGCAUUUUCUGGUGUUUGAACCCUAGACUUCAUGGUGUAGAAGCAUUAAUGAACCCUUAUUCAAACUACUAAACUAAAAAUCCUACCAAAAAAAAAAAACUACUAAACUAAAGAAGUUUAUUUUAAACCAGGGUUUAAGCUCUAAUUAUUAAAAAAAUAAAAAAAUAAAAGAAUGCAGAGAGGAUAAUCAAUUUUUAGAUAAAAGGGGUCAAAACAAAGGAAAUAGACAAACUGAGCCACUAUUAUUCACAGUUCUAAGUUUAAAAUAGUUUUUCAUAUUUGACUGGGGUCAGUUGACCCCUCUCCUGACCAUGUAGCUCUGCUCCCGAAGUUACAAAGCAUUGGAGUUUAGUAAGUCAGGGGAGGAUGCUCGUUUUGCGGUUGAUAAACAACAGAAUAUAUUUAAAAAUUAUCUUAUGUCUUAAAACAUGUUUUUAUUUUUUGAAAAUUUUAUUAUAUUUAUGUAUAAUCAAUUAUCUAAUAUAAUAUAUAAAUAUAAUAGUAUUAAUAUAAAUUCGUUUAUAAUUAUUUUUAUUUUAGAUAAUUUUUAUUGUUAUUAAUUUUAGUUACUUAUUUAAUCAGAUAUAUUUUAAAUUUGUUUUAUUGUUGACUAAUUUAUACACUAGAUUUAUUAAUGGUAUAAAUGAUUUAUUAUUAAUUUUAAUCACUUUUUAAUCGGAUAGAUUUGAAACUUGUUUUUAAUUUUUGACUAAUUUAAAUAAUUGAUUUAUUAAGGUUAUAUACGAUAUUAACCGCUCUAACUUUUAACGUGAGAGCUCUGUUGCAAAAUUUUACUUCGCAAAUAAUAGUCUAGACUAGAUAAAUAAGGAGAUAAAACUAACUUUAAAUCCAUAAUAAAUGGAAAUAUAAAUUUUUUUAACAAACUAAUACUAAAUAAACCAACAAAUUUUGGUUUUCUAAUAUUAUAAAUUAUUAUUAAAAAUAAAAUAAAAAUCAAACAGUUUAAUUUUCUGUAUUAUUAAAAAAGUAUAUCAAAAUUUAUUUUUAAUAAAUUCUUGGAUUUUUAUCAGCUCAAUCAAUAUCAAAUCACAUGUUAAUGACGGGUUUGAGUUUUUAUCAAUUUUCGAACCGAUAAAGAACACCUUGCCUAGUAGAUAAGAAAUAAAUAAUAGUUUGUCGGCAUAUAUGUAUUCGAAUAUAAUAAUAGCAACAAGGUGAUGAUAACGUGAACAGAUGAUUGAUUGCUUGUGGUUUGAGAAAACCUCUCUCAAUUAUUUGACCUACCAACAUUCAUACGCAAACAACCAAUUCCAACGGAUCUGCUUGUGAUUGAAACCUUCUUCUUCUCCCAAGCCAGAGUCUGCUAAUCAUUUUUCCUGGAAAAGGUAUAAAUCUUGUCUUUUUAUCUCAGGUUGAAUUUUCUUACCAUCUUGACUCUGGUUCCGCGCAGAUAACCUCAUGUAAAGAGUUUUGGUUGAAUCUUUUCUAACCUUCUGAUCUUCUUGACCAGGAGGAAUCAAUGGGACCAAAAGCUGGAACGUUGGUUAUCAUCUUGCUGGGGUUGACCUUGCUUUCCGACGCUAGAUCUUUCCUUCACUCUUCCCUAGACUCAGGUACCAAUACUAAGACCAAAAUUUCGGGUGAAAACACCAUCGCUAUCUGAUUGAUGCUAUAGAAGCUUUCACUUAAGAGUUCCGUUUUAAUGAAAUAGUUUGGCUUCGAUCCCCUCAAAGUAUGGCUCAGAUUGUGUAAUAAAAAGCUUAUGAUGGCUUUAAUAUUUUCAAGACUUUCAACCUUUUUCGUCUUGACUUUUGUUCAGAGAAAGUUAUAAAGAAUGAAAAGGUCUGCACUCUGUGCGAGGAAUAUGUUAACGUUGCUAUCAGUUACCUUGAGAAUAACCAAACACAAGCUCAGAUAAUCGAGGACCUUCAUGAUCGCUGUUCCCAUAUGCGCGGUUUUGCACAGCAGGUUUGAUAAACUUUUGCCUCUGUUUCGUCUGUGUGUGUUGAAUUGGAUGAUGAUUAAGUUUUUUUUAUCUGAUGCAGUGCGUAACUUUGGUUGACUACUAUGUCCCUCUUUUCUUCAUACAACUUGAGUCGUUUCAACCUGAAGAUUUCUGCAAGAGGAUGAAUCUUUGUGACAAAGUGGCUGCUCUUGUUGAAGAAGUCCGUCAGGAUAGUUGCGCUGUAUGCCACAAGACUGUUUCAGAUAUUCUCAUCAAACUCCAAGAUCCCGACACACAGGUUAGUACUUAGUAGUAAUAACUACAAGAUGAUGUUUAAUUAAUUAUGCAUUCUGUGUCAGAGACUCAUCAUAGUUGAUAUACUGAUGCAUUCUGUGUCAGAGACUCAUCAUAGUUGAUAUACUGACUUUGUUUUCGGUUUGAUUAUCCAGUUGGAUAUAGUUGAGCUACUUCUCAAGGGAUGCAAAUCAUUCAAGAACUAUGAGAAGAAGGUUAGAAUUAAUCAAGUUUCAAUAGAUAACAACUCAACUUAACAACCCUGCCUGGUUGUGUUUCCUUCUGUUUCUUUGGUUGGUGUUCUUCUCAUUUUUACCAAUGUUGUGUAUAUGUUACUACAGUGCAAGAAGUUGGUGUUCGAGUAUGGACCUCUCAUCCUCGUAAAUGCAAACGAUUUCUUAGUGAAAAAUGACGUCUGCAAACUCUUACGCGCAUGUCCAGACGAGAAAACGGUUCUAACGCAGCCCGGGACGGCAGAUUCUUGAAUGUUAAAAAUGAUGGCUGCAGGAAAUACAACCGCUGUGUGUUUUGCAUAAGAACAGUUGGAGACUUUGUGAACUGUCUGUAUGUAUGGACGGACUUAGACACACAUUCCCUUCCGUAAACGUUUCUUUACGUUUGUGUAAAUAACGAUUGCUUCAAUUGUACCUCUUAUAAUAAAAUGAUUGUCUCCUAUUCAUGUUCUUGACAUGUUUAGAACAAUGUGAAAGAGGACAUUUGUUGGAGGCGGGUUUUAUCCUACUUCAUACCCGGUCCGAGAAUCCGGUCCAGUAGCAUUAAGGUCAGAUAAACGAUAAAAAGCCUGUUAAGGUUCAACGACCAUGUUGAGCUGAAGAGAAGAUCUACGCCGAGCUAGAUAUAUUCAAACCAACACAUAAGGGCGGUCAAAGCAAUAAAUACAGUUAUCAAAGCACCUGAUAUACGCCGGAGAUCACUCCACCAUUACGGUCUCCCUCGUCUAACACCUAUAAAAAAAAGAGACCAUGAGAAAGAAGAAGGGCAUCCGAUUUUCUUCCAUAAUAGACUUUAUUCUCAAGACUUCUAAACUCUCUUUAGUUCAUUAUAUCGGACCUCUGACCAGGCUGUAACCGAUCUGUAUUGUAGAACUUCUAUAGGUGCCUUACUGCCUUGGUGAGACAACACCUUUUGCCGAAAGAAGCAUCUUUUCAGUUCACUCAUUGUGCCCUGUGUGACCUUAAGCACGACCUUUUUGAAUCAAAUGUCAGGUAUUUCCCGCUAACACUUGAGAAGCACAAAACUACCAAGCAUCCUAAGAAACUCAAAUUGGUUAAUGAUUAAACAAAAUCACUCGGACCUAAUACCGAUUCUGAUACAUGAUAAGUCGAACCACGUUCUCAUCUUAUUUAACCCAUAAAUAAGCCAGACCUUCCUGCAACCGGUGUUGUAACUUUUACAUAUCAAUCAAAACAGGUCCAGCCCAGCGCUUUGUACUGCCUAAAGGAAAAUAAAUAAUUGGCACCCUCUUGCAUUUGAACAGUGCACCUGUUACCAAUUAUUGCACAACAUAACCACUAAACUAUAUACAACUUUUGGCAAUUUUGAUGCCUUUAAAUGUUUAAUCUAAUUUGGCGCCUAAAGUACCUGCUUCCCCAGCUUUAUGUCAGGGCCGGACAUGAAUCAAAAGCCUUGGCAUACAUAAACAUAGUACCCCAUAAGUAAUCAAAGAUGAAAGACUGUCGACCAAAAGCAAAAGCACAUCUAAAGAAACAAAUUCAUUUGGAUAAAAAGCAUGUCGAUGGAUUAAAACCCUCCCUGGUACACCAAGUAUAAAAAACAAAAAAGAAAAAGCAAAACAGAAGAAGCCAACUCUCGGGCUAGCUCAGACGAGAUAGUGGCCCCAACAUCCACAAAAGAGAUCGAGGAGAGGUUCGAGCCAAAUUGAUCCACGAUCAAGGGCUCCCUAACAGCUGUUGCAUCAGUCAUAUUUUGGUCAGCGGGAGGAUUCUCACAGGACUGGCUAGGAUUUUUAUCUUGACCAAAUCUAGGCCUGAGAGCAUCAUUAUAUAGAGUUUCUUAGAGCGGUGUUAUUAGGGGAAUAUAAGAAACGGUUUCUUAUAUUCCCCUAAGAAUCCGCCCUAAGAAAUCCUGGAUAAUGAUGCUCUGACCUCUCCAUCAUCGAUUAGUCCCAGCUCGAAAAUCGAUCUCAGUGGGAGACUGCUGCAGCUGGAACCGCCUGAAACCGUAGAAACCCUCAAUCUCUCUCUCUCUCUCUCAAUUAAAUCGAUCUAUAUCAAUUGCAUCAAUGUCCGCCUGGAAUUCCUUAUAAGCUUAAACCCAUAUCACCUGAUCUGCCUCGAGACCAACUAUCCCCUUGCUGAUAGCUCGUCAAUCAGACCACUCUGAGCAACCAUCAGGGACAUCAACAAGGCGCUCUGCUGAACAACCUCGGAGUCGACCAGAGUCCUCAUGAUCUUGUUAAAACAAAUCUUGUACUUCUUAACCACCACUUGACGAGUUCUCUUCUCCGACCUCUGGAUCUCCUUCCCCUUCGAGGCAACCAGCUUCUAAAGCUCUUCCUCAUGAGCCUCUACCCCAGCAUAAGCCGAUUGCCGAGCUGCUCUUUCUCCUGGCAUGUGUCUGCUAGAUCUUUUAUGAGACCGGCUUCACGCUGCUCAGUUGUGAUAUUAGCCUAUACCCUUCGCACUUCACUCCUUUGAUGGAGUCGCGAAGACAUGACUCUUAAGCCUCGAGCUCUUUGAUCUUCUCAUCUUUGGUCUUCUCGGUGACCUCCAGUUGGCCAAGCUAAGUUUCCACUUUCCAGAACAAUGAUGCAGGUGGACACCUCGUGGUUUUGUCUUGCUCCGCCCUCAACGUAUCCUUACAUUAAAGGGCCUCCUUCUCGACUAUAGUUGUUUUGCUCGAGCUUCUCAGAUCUUGUACUCAUAGAAGGUGCGAUUACUGUUCACCUAGCCCAUGUGCUGCCAACAAACAAUGCCGGUUUCAAAAGACACAGAGAAAAAAUUACAUUACAAAAUUUUAAAUUAAGAAAAUGAUUACCAAAGCUUUAGAUCAGCAGACGCCCUCAUAAAUACCAUUCCCAGUAAAAAAUUACUCCGAUAAACAAAGAUCGUCAGCCAGGCGAAUCUCUUGGUGAAUACGCAGACAAGCCUCCCCCUCAUCAGGCACAGGAGUGUUAACUGGAAACUCAAAAAGAAAUGGCGUACUCGCCCUUUUGAGUAAAAGCAGAACCCGAACCGAUCCAUUCCAUAAAAAGUAAAUCCAAACCGAAGUGAACCCCGCAUAAUAUUAGAUUGUUUUACAGUAUUUUGGGUUUUUUGUUUUCUCCGAACUGAACCCGAAUCCAAACGAAUAUCCAAAUAAACUAUUUUUGAUAAUUAAUCAAAUAUUGAGAAUUUUAUAUUUUGACAAUUGCAGUUAAAGUUUGAUUAUAAUUAUUUUUUCUUCAAAAGUUUCAAAACUAUUUUUUAAGUUUCAUUGAUGUUUCAUGUGUUAAUAGAGUUGUUAGUUGUUAAUUUUAACUUGUAUAUGUUUCUCCCUUCCUAACAACCACAUUAUGCCAUCAAGCCUUUGUUAAUGUAAUUGUUGAAAUUGAUGAAAACUUAAAUAUGUAUUUUUGAGUCAUAAUAAGUAUAUGGAUAAUUAAAACCCAAAUUAGAACCGCAAUCGAAUUUAAAACGGGUUCAACCGGGUUAAAAGUGUGUUAAUAUAUAUCCGAACCACACAGCGUAAACUCGAACCAAACUUUUAUAAUAUUCUAAUAAAACUAAAUUUGUGCUCCCAAAAAAUCUAAAUCCGAAUUAACUCCGAACUGAACUGGUUGGACACUCAAUCGCUCAUGCCUACCAACUUUUUACCCAAAAUAAUACAUAACAAAUUUUCUAUUUUAAAUGCACCACACUUAAUGGUCCAUCCAGGUUAGAGAAUUUUGAUAAGAGAUUUACACUGAGAAAUUAUGAGAAGGAAUCGGUAAACUAAUUAUAUACGAUACUACUUUUUCAAAAAAUGUUAUUAGACAUUUUGUGUAUAGUUGCAAUGUAGAUUAACAGAAAUAAAAAUUUAGGUAAUUAAUUUAAAAAUAGUUUUCUUAAUUCUUGUUGUCUGAGUUUUUUUUCUUGGUCAAAAACCGUAGCUACCAUUCAUCGUCCUAAUAAAACUUAAGUCAACAAUCUAGAUAACCAUCAUUUUUUUUGGGUGUAAAUGUUAAGAUUCAUACCAAUUUUCUGAAUUUUACAUGGUUUGUGGCAAGCUACUUAUUACAAGAGAGAACAAGAAGAAAGACACAAUUAACUAUAAGGAGAGAUGAACCAAAAAUAUAGCUGAAGCAGAGUCGGAGAAGACACAGUCGCUGAGGGGAAAGACAAGAGCCUGUCACGGAUAGCACGAUCGAUCACAUGGAAGAAGGCUGGAGGAGACAAGAACGAGCCGCGGAAAAUAGCCAUUAAUCAAAGAGAACUAGUAAGGAAUAACAGGCUGAUCCUAAAAAAGAAGAAAAAAAAACACGCUAAACCGAUUACAAACACACCUUUAUUACAAGAUUCCCUUCCCAAACACUUAUAAGCGACAUAUUAUUUUUUAAAGCUGACAUAAACAUAUAUUUCAUGUCUGUUAUGACUUAUGAGCUGCCCGUAGACCCAUGUUUGCAUCGGUUGUAGAUGGUACAUUGGCUGUUCUGCUGACUAUAGAUUGCGGUGCAGAAACGAUUCAUUGAAGAAGGACAUGCUGCCGGACGGUUCAUGGUGGAAUAGGCUAAAUAUUUCUUCUUAUCCGGCACAAGGGAGACCCAAAUUACUUCUUCACUAUCUUCAUGAACACCCGUGAGAUUUUGCCAGCCAUUUAGCAUAUUCCCUGAGGUUGCAACGGCAAGGAGCAGAAGGACGGAAAAAGCUAUUGACUUCAUUUGUCCAACUAUUUGUCUGGCUUUUUUAUCUUUGGUGUGAGAAGGGAUAGGGAAGAUAGAUAUAAUGAUAGACUGAAAACUUUGGUUGGUCCAUAUUUAAUAUGAACUUAAUGAUUGAAUUAUCAUGUGCUGGAACGCAAGAAAGUAAAUAAGUGAAAAUUAAUAUAU
rnacentral:lncRNA from 1 species